AGUUCUCACCUGUGUCUGGUAGCAGCGACUGCCUGUGUUUUGCAUUCAGAUCUUGCUGUCUGUACCAAUAU
rnacentral:snoRNA from 1 species